AGAAUCAACGCUGGCGGCGUGCCUAACACAUGCAAGUCGCACGAGAAAGGGGACUUCGGUCCUGAGUACAGUGGCGCACGGGUGAGUAACACGUGAAUCAUCUACCUCCGAGUGGGGAAUAACUGAGAGAAAUCUUAGCUAAUACCGCAUAACACUUACGAGUCAAAGCAGCAAUGCGCUUGGAGAGGAGUUCGCGGCAGAUUAGUUAGUUGGCGGGGUAAUGGCCCACCAAGACGAUGAUCUGUA
rnacentral:rRNA from 1 species